CCCGCUCAGAAACUUAAAUGAUGACGGGGGCCCGCACAAGCGGUGGAGCAUGUGGUUUAAUUCGAUGAUACGCGAGGAACCUUACCUGGGCUCAAAUGUAUGUUGACGUAUUCUGAAAGGGAUACUUCUUCGGACAAUAUACAAGGUGCUGCAUGGUUGUCGUCAGCUCGUGCCGUGAGGUGUCGGGUUAAGUCCCAUAACGAGCGCAACCCCUAUCAUUAGUUGCCAUCAGGUCAAGCUGGGGACUCUAAUGAAACUGCCUACGCAAGUAGUGAGGAAGGUGGGGAUGACGUCAAAUCAGCACGGCCCUUACGUCCAGGGCUACACACGUGCUACAAUGGCCGGUACAAAGGGCAGCUACCUGGUGACAGGAUGCUAAUCUCAAAAGCCGGUCUCAGUUCGGAUUGCAGGCUGAAACUCGCCUACAUGAAGUUGGAGUUGCUAGUAAUCGCGAAUCAGAAUGUCGCGGUGAAUGCGUUCCCGGGUCUU
rnacentral:rRNA from 1 species